ACUACACGUUGCAAAGGGUUGGGCUACCAAGUGUUAGCACGAUAGCAAACAUUACAUUAGAAGUUGGAAGCGCCAUGUCAUUGCCAUUCAAAACUCGAAAAGACAAGGAAGAAGCGGUCCACUUGUUGACAACCAUGCUCUCCCGCCCAGACUGGUUACGUUACGUUCAAGCUCAAUAUCAUGUGGGUCCUCCAACCUCCAGCUCACCUCUCUCAUCUCCAGGACAACGGAGGCCAGGCGCUCAUUCUCUGAUUGGUUGCUGGUGAGGGCAGUCCUGGCCAACCGCAGCUCGUUCUGCAGCUCCAGGACCAUCUGCUGGACCUGAGCCCUAGGACCAUGCCCCAGGACUACCUGACAUGAUGACUCCUUGCUGUCCCCAGUCCACCUGGCCGUGCUGCUGCUCCAGUUUCAACUGAACCGCGGCCCUAGGACCAUGCCCCAGGACUACUUGACAUGAUGACUCCUUGCUGUCCCCAGUCCACCUGGCCGUGCUGCUGCUCCAGUUUCAACUGUUCUGCCUUAUUAUUAUUCGACCAUGCUGGUCAUUUAUGAACAUUUGAACAUCUUGGCCAUGUUCUGUUAUAAUCUCUACCCGGCACAGCCAGAAGAGGACUGGCCACCCCACAUAGCCUGGUUCCUCUCUAGGUUUCUUCCUAGGUUUUGGCUUUUCUAGGGAGUUUUUCCUAGCCACCGUGCUUCUACACCUGCAUUGCUUGCUGUUUGGGGUUUUAGGCUGGGUUUCUGUACAGCACUUUGAGAUAUCAGCUGAUGUACGAAGGGCUAUAUAAAUAAAUUUGAUUUGAUUUGAUUUGAUUUGUGUGCAUAUUCAAUUCCCAACAAGGAGGAGCCCACUCAGAACCUGAGAGAUCUGGACGGAGUCAUAAUUACAGAAUGAUUCAUUAGAGCAGGGCUGUCCAAAAGACUGCUACCUGACAGCUGCUUCAUUAGCUGAGCAGAAUCUGUAGUGGCCAACUUGUCUAACCUACAGUACAGUACACAGCAGCAGCAGGGCUGAAUGACUGGGUGGUGAUUCAAGAGACUAGUUGCUGCUUUGCUUUUCUGGCAGCUGCCCAUCUGGGUCAUCUAAUUAGCCACUGCACCCAUAGUGACCCUGGGUCUAAUAUAGCACAUAUCAGUGGCUCUCUUGCCAGCGACCACACAGUACAGUACAGCACAGCACUACCUUCCCUCUCUGUCUGGCCAGCUGACGAUAAUGUUCACAGGA